rnacentral:rRNA from 1 species
UACGGAGGGUGCAAGCGUUAUCCGGAUUCACUGGGUUUAAAGGGUGCGUAGGCGGUUGUUUAAGUCUGUCGUGAAAUCCCCGGGCUCAACCUGGGAAUGGCGAUGGAUACUGGGCAGCUAGAGUGUGUCAGAGGAUGGUGGAAUUCCCGGUGUAGCGGUGAAAUGCGUAGAGAUCGGGAGGAACAUCAGUGGCGAAGGCGGCCAUCUGGGACAACACUGACGCUGAAGCACGAAAGCGUGGGGAGCAAACAGG